UCCCUGGUGGCUCAGAUGGUAAAGAAUCUGCCUGCAGUGCUGUAGACCCAGGUUCGAUUCCUGGUUCAGGAU
rnacentral:tRNA from 1 species